rnacentral:rRNA from 1 species
CAGUAGCCGCGGGAAAACGAAGGGUGCAAGCGUUACUCGGAAUUACUGGGCGUAAAGCGUGCGUAGGUGGUGGUUUAAGUCCGUUGUGAAAGCCCUGGGCUCAACCUGGGAAUUGCAGUGGAUACUGGGUCACUAGAGUGUGGUAGAGGAUAGUGGAGUUUCCGGUGUAGCAGUGAAAUGCGUAGAGAUCGGAAGGAACAUCUGUGGCGAAGGCGACUAUCUGGGCCAACACUGACACUGAGGCACGAAAGCGUGGGGAGCAAACAGGAUUAGAUACCCCAGUAGUCCCUGUCUCUUAUAC